rfam:Flavobacterium aquatile LMG 4008 contig5, whole genome shotgun sequence.
AUUAAUCGAGGUCGAGAACCUCAAAAUUUAAU